CGGACAUACUAGUUGCAAGUGGCGC
rnacentral:rasiRNA from 1 species